rnacentral:misc_RNA from 1 species
AAAAAAAAAAAAAAACCACCAUGACUAGUUACACUAGUAUCAUAACUUCCACUUUCGAAAAUAAUAAGAAUUCUUCAAAAACAACUUUUAAAUCACCAAGUGAAGACCCUAAUAAUUACUAAAACUAGGUUGAAACAGCGGAUAACAAGCUAUAUCUCAGCCAUGAACUUCUCUAAAAUGUAGAAGGGUAAAUACAGUUUUGAAUUAGGAGGAUCAGUUAAGAUUUGUACAUACUCCAAUAGUUCCACCAUAU